GGGAGGUAGUGACAAUAAAUAACAAUAUAGGGCUCUUUUGGGUCUUAUAAUUGGAAUGAGUACAAUUUAAAUCUCUUAACGAGAACCAAUUGGAGGGCAAGUCUGGUGCCAGCAGCCGCGGUAAUUCCAGCUCCAAUAGCGUAUAUUAAAGUUGUUGCAGUUAAAAAGCUCGUAGUUGAAUUUCGGGAUUAGUAGGUUGGUCGUGCCUCUGGUAUGCACUGGCUUUACUGGUUCCUCCUUCUUGAAGAACUGUAAUGUCAUUAAUUUGGUGUUGCAGGGAAACAGGACUGUUACUUUGAAAAAUUAGAGUGUUUAAAGCAGGCUAACGCUUGAAUACAUUAGCAUGGAAUAAUGAAAUAGGACGUUUGAUCCUAUUUUGUUGGUUUCUAGGAUUGACGUAAUGAUUAAUAGGGAUAGUUGGGG
rnacentral:rRNA from 1 species